UCGAGAAUCUUUGGCAAUGGGCGCAAGCCUGACCAAGCGACGCCGCGUGCGGGAUGAAGGCCCUUGGGUUGUAAACCGCUGUCAGAGGGGAUGAAGUGCCGGAUGGUAAUUAAUAAUCCAUGCGGUUUGACAUAGCCUCAGAGGAAGCACGGGCUAAGUUCGUGCCAGCAGCCGCGGUAAUACGAACUGUGCAAACGUUAUUCGGAAUCACUGGGCUUAAAGGGUGCGUAGGCGGCUGUCUAAGCAGGGUGUGAAAGCCCCCGGCUCAACCGGGGAAUUGCGUUCUGAACUGGACGGCUGGAGUGGGAUAGGGGUGUGUGGAACUUCCGGUGGAGCGGUGAAAUGUGUUGAUAUCGGAAGGAACGCCGGUGGCGAAAGCGACACACUGGGUCUCAACUGACGCUGAGGCACGAAAGCCAGGGGAGCGAACGGGAUUAGAUACCCCUGUAGUCC
rnacentral:rRNA from 1 species